rnacentral:rRNA from 1 species
AUGGUGUGCCGCUUAGAGGCCAAGCCCUACUGGUCAGCUACUCGUGCGUCGCGACGGCCUCCUCCAGAUCCACCCCUCUGCACGACCAUGAUUGACUCUGAUGAGAUCCGACAUCACUUUUGCCUCUCAACUCACAAGAUAAUCAUAGGCCAUGCCAUGGCCAAAAUCUCCCUCUCACCACCGCGAUUUCUCUCUCGGCGUUCUUCCCGUACUAUGUUCUGGGUUGUUCGUUCCUUCCUGCCGAGAGAUCGAUUCCGAGUUAUUGUUGUUUUGUUUGCGGUGGUCAUCUCUUUCGGUGUGCGUCUAUUUUUGUUUUUCCUGGAGCAGAGUUUAUCUAAUCUUCAGGUCGCCGGUGCUCCGUCUGGUUUUUGCUUGCUUUACUAUCUCAUCUCACUGUUGGAUUCAUUUUACCAAUCUUUCCCGGUUUGGUUGCCGGCCGCAAAUUCUUUCCUUUUUCCCCACUCGGUGGCUGUUGUGACUGAUUUCGGAGUUUCCUUUCAAUUUUGUUCUCUUUUAGUAGAAUUUCUGUUUGGUCUGACUUCGCAGCGGCAACAUGAUCAUGGCGGAAGAUUCAUGCUUUUGCCCAAUUGUUUCUGUACGGAUUUCUGUCGAACAGAUCUUCUAAUGUUCGGGGUUCGCAAUUCAAUUUCUCAGCUUGUAGACAUUGUUGCUUUUUGGAACUGA